GAGAGUUGGGCUUCAGGUGCCGGCAUGGGCGCUGCAUGGGAGGCCAGGCCUCGCCAGGGUAGGUUGGCUGCAAGGAAAUCUGUUUAUACUUCUUAACCAUGGAUGUGCCUGGAUUGUCUCACAGGCCUAAUGAAAUCCUUUCACAUCAGUUUCUCAGCUGGUUUUUUUUCCCUAUCUUGUAACCUAUUUAUUCAUAUUCGACUAUUUGAAACAUGGAAUAGAGAUGAAUGUAACAUUUGUGGUUCUGACUUAAUGUGUCACAGAAAGCUGCAAUGAUCUUUAGGAUGUCAUGUUUUCAAAGUAUUAUGUUAAUUAACCAGUGCUGAAAAAUUUCUGGAGUUCUGCCAUCAUCUUGCUUCAUUUUUCUGAGAAUAAGGAAAUAACUAUUCCAGAUAAGUUAAUUGUUACACAGUCUUUUCCUGGUAACAUUGAAAUCUGUAAGAAUGAUGAAGGUAUUUCAAAAAUGUGUUUUGUUUUAUGUUAAAUCCUGAGCUUCUUUCUCCUUGAUGACUUGGGCCAUCUUGGUCAACAGGUAUCCUCUUCCAUCAGGAGCUGUGAGCCUGGUCUGCACAGGCCCAUGGCUCCGCAGCCAAUCCAGAGUGCAGCUUGGUCCCCAAUGUUGUGCAUGCACAUCCCCACCGGCCACUCAAGACACACCCUUCUCACUCACUCACUUGGCCAGUCUUCUUUCCCCUCCUUUUCAUAAUUUGCUUCAGUAGCCUGGGGAAUAGAAAAAGUAAAACUAGUUAAAAUGAUGUCUAAAAUUGGA
rnacentral:lncRNA from 1 species